rnacentral:rRNA from 1 species
CAAACUGGAGAUGGCGACCGGCGCACGGGUGAGUAACACGUAUCCAACCUGCCGAUAACUCGGGGAUAGCCUUUCGAAAGAAAGAUUAAUACCUGAUGGCAUAAUAGAACCGCAUGGUUUGAUUAUUAAAGAAUUUCGGUUAUCGAUGGGGAUGCGUUCCAUUAGGCAGUUGGUGGGGUAACGGCCCACCAAACCUUCGAUGGAUAGGGGUUCUGAGAGGAAGGUCCCCCACAUUGGAACUGAGACACGGUCCAAACUCCUACGGGAGGCAGCAUG